rnacentral:rRNA from 1 species
CACAGACAGAAAGGAGAUUUAAAGGUGCAAACCGCCGAGGGAUUGGAAUAUGUCCUAUUAGCUAGUUGGCGGGAUAAAAGCCCACCAAGGCAAUGAUAGGUAGCUGGUCUAAGAGGAUGAACAGCCACAAUGGGAUUGAGAUACGGCCCAUAUUCCUACGGGAAGCAGCAGUAGGGAAUCUUCCACAAUGGACGAAAGUCUGAUGGAGCAAUGCCAUGUGAACGACGAAGGCCAGACAGGUCGUAAAGUUCUUUUAGAGGGGAAAAAUCUGAUGGUACCCUCUGAAUAAGUGACAGCAAACUAUGUGCCAGCAGCUGCGGUAAUACAUAGGUCGCGAGCGUUAUUCGGAUUUAUUGGGCGUAAAGCAAGCGCAGGCGGAUGAAUAAGUUCUGCAUUAAAAGCAGCUGCUUAACAGUUGUUUGUGCCGAAUACUAUUCAUCUAGAAUGUGGUAGAAAGUUUUGGAAUUAACAAUGGAGCGA